UGCAUUUUCCGGAUAGUACAAAAUAUUUUUAACUUUUAUUUUGUACAUUUUCACUUUUUUUUUUUUUUGUGGAUUUUUUUAACCAAACGAUUGUAUACGGGGCAAAGUGAUUUUUUGGUGGUUAAAAAUUUGGUCAGCCUUUUUGUUUUUUGGUCACGAAUGCUUUCGUGGUAGGGCGAUUUCGUUCCCGCGGAGGCUCAUCCGAGAAAAUUCUAGUAUUAAAAGGAACGCGGGUCUCUUAUCUAAGUUAUUGUCCGCGGAGGCAAUAGCUCCGGAGAUUACUUCGAGGGAAUGGAAGCUAAAUAGCCCCGGCGAAAUUUGUGGCGAGUCCACGUCGUACCUUGUGCGCUACACUGUUGUCUAAGAGGAGGAGCAGCGAAUUAGUAGCGAGUGCUCAGGAGGGAAGCAAUAAAACAGAGGUGAGCCGGUA